rnacentral:rRNA from 1 species
UUGUAAGUGUUUAAGGGCACAUGGUGGAUGCCUUGGCAUCAGGAGCCGAUGAAGGACGUGGGAGGCUGCGAUAUGCCUCGGGGAGCUGCCAACCGAGCGUGGAUCCGAGGAUGUCCGAAUGGGGAAACCCGGCACGAGUGAUGUCGUGUCACCCGUAUCUGAAUACAUAGGGUGCGGGAGGGAACGCGGGGAAGUGAAACAUCUCAGUACCCGUAGGAAAAGAAAACAAUAGUGAUUCCGUGAGUAGUGGCGAGCGAAAGCGGAGGAUGGCUAAACCGUGCGCAUGUGAUACCCGGCGGGGGUUGUGUGUGUGGUGUUGUGGGGUUUGUGUUCUCUGGUCCGCCGAUCAGGGCUGCAGUAGUGGCGUGUUAGUCGAAGUGGCCUGGGAUGGUCUGCCGUAGACGGUGAGAGCCCGGUAGGUGAAAACAUGUCAUCUGUAGUCACGAAUACCCGAGUAGCAGCGGGCCCGUGGAAUCUGCUGUGAAUCUGCCGAGACCACUCGGUAAGCCUGAAUACUUCCUGAUGACCGAUAGCGGAUUAGUACCGUGAGGGAAUGGUGAAAAGUACCCCGGGAGGGGAGUGAAAGAGUACCUGAAACCGUGUGCCUACAAGCCGUCAGAGCCUUCCCUUUUGGGUGGGGUGAUGGCGUGCCUUUUGAAGAAUGAGCCUGCGAGUCAGGGACAUGUCGCGAGGUUAACCCGUGUGGGGUAGCCGCAGCGAAAGCGAGUCUGAAUAGGGCGUAUCCAUCGUGAGGUGGUGUAGUGGUGUGUUCUGGACCCGAAGCGGAGUGAUCUACCCAUGGCCAGGGUGAAGCGCGGGUAAGACCGCGUGGAGGCCCGAACCCACUUAGGUUGAAGACUGAGGGGAUGAGUUGUGGGUAGGGGUGAAAGGCCAAUCAAACUCCGUGAUAGCUGGUUCUCCCCGAAAUGCAUUUAGGUGCAGCGUUGCGUGUUUCUUACCGGAGGUAGAGCUACUGGAUGGCCGAUGGGCCCUACUAGGUUACUGACGUCAGCCAAACUCCGAAUGCCGGUAAGGCAAAGCGUGGCAGUGAGACGGCGGGGGAUAAGCUCCGUGCGUCGAGAGGGAAACAGCCCAGAUCGCCGGCUAAGGCCCCUAAGCGUGUGCUAAGUGGAAAAGGAUGUGCAGUCGCAUAGACAACCAGGAGGUUGGCUUAGAAGCAGCCACCCUUGAAAGAGUGCGUAAUAGCUCACUGGUCAAGUGAUUGUGCGCCGAUAAUGUAGCGGGGCUCAAGCACACCGCCGAAGCCGCGGCAACAACUUUUGUUGUUGGGUAGGGGAGCGUCCUGCAUCCAGUGAAGCCACCUAGUGAUGGUGUGGUGGAGGGUGUGGGAGUGAGAAUGCAGGCAUGAGUAGCGAUAAGGCAAGUGAGAACCUUGCCCGCCGAAAGACCAAGGGUUCCUGGGCCAGGCCAGUCCGCCCAGGGUGAGUCGGGACCUAAGGCGAGGCCGACAGGCGUAGUCGAUGGACAACGGGUUGAUAUUCCCGUACCCGUGUGUGCGCGCCCAUGACGAAUCCAUUCUGCUAACCGUCCAAAAGGCGGCAUAUCUGCGACCUUCGGGUCAAUGAGUGUCGCCGGCUGCACGGGACCCGGAUGGGUAGUAGUCAAGCGAUGGGGUGACGCAGGAAGGUAGCCGUACCAGUCAGUGGUAAUACUGGGGCAAGCCCGUAGGCAGUCAGAUAGGUAAAUCCGUCUGGCAUAUAUGCCGAGAGGUGAUGCAUAACCGGAUGAGGUGAAUUCGGUGAUCCUAUGCUGCCGAGAAAAGCCUCUAGCGAGCUCACACACGGCCCGUACCCCAAACCAACACAGGUGGUCAGGUAGAGAAUACCAAGGCGUACGAGAGAACUAUGGUUAAGGAACUCGGCAAAAUACCCCCGUAACUUCGGGAGAAGGGGGGCCCACACACCGUCAUGGCCCACGCGGCCGGCAGCGGGAGUGGGUCGCAGAAACCAGUGAGAAGCGACUGUUUACUAAAAACACAGGUCCGUGCGAAGUCGCAAGACGAUGUAUACGGACUGACGCCUGCCCGGUGCUGGAAGGUUAAGAGGACCCGUUAACCGUUAAAAGUGAAGCGGAGAAUUUAAGCCCCAGUAAACGGCGGUGGUAACUAUAACCAUCCUAAGGUAGCGAAAUUCCUUGUCGGGUAAGUUCCGACCUGCACGAAUGGCGUAACGACUUCUCAACUGUCUCAACCAUAGACUCGGCGAAAUUGCACUACGAGUAAAGAUGCUCGUUACGCGCGGCAGGACGAAAAGACCCCGGGACCUUCACUAUAGCUUGGUAUUGAUGUUCGGUACGGUUUGUGUAGGAUAGGUGGGAGACUGUGAAACAAUUACGCCAGUAAUUGCGGAGUCGUUGUUGAAAUACCACUCUGAUCGUAUUGGACCUCUAACCUCGAACCGUCUAUCCGGUUCAGGAACAGUGCCUGGUGGGUAGUUUAACUGGGGCGGUUGCCUCCCAAAAUGUAACGGAGGCGCCCAAAGGUUCCCUCAACCUGGACGGCAAUCAGGUGUUGAGUGCAAGUGCACAAGGGAGCUUGACUGCAAGACUGACACGUCAAGCAGGGACGAAAGUCGGGACUAGUGAUCCGGCACCCCCGAGUGGAAGGGGUGUCGCUCAACGGAUAAAAGGUACCCCGGGGAUAACAGGCUGAUCUUCCCCAAGAGUCCAUAUCGACGGGAUGGUUUGGCACCUCGAUGUCGGCUCGUCGCAUCCUGGGGCUGGAGCAGGUCCCAAGGGUUGGGCUGUUCGCCCAUUAAAGCGGCACGCGAGCUGGGUUUAGAACGUCGUGAGACAGUUCGGUCUCUAUCCGCCGCGCGCGUCAGAAGCUUGAGGAAACCUGUCCCUAGUACGAGAGGACCGGGACGGACGAACCUCUGGUCCACCAGUUGUCCCACCAGGGGCACCGCUGGAUAGCCACGUUCGGACAGGAUAACCGCUGAAAGCAUCUAAGCGGGAAACCCCCUCCAAGACCAGGCUUCUCACCCAUUCAAGUGGGAUAAGGCCCCCCGCAGACCACGGGAUCAAUAGACCAGACCUACACAACCAGCAAUGGUUUCAGGGAACUGGCACUAACCGGCCGAAAACUUACACAC